UUGAUCAUUUAGAGGCUAGCCUUUGAAGGGAGAAUGUCCCUUGGAUGAAGGUUGCUUUAUGAAAAGGAGUGUUCUACUGUUAGAGAACUUCAUCAACAACAUAUGUCUGCAAACAUAAAAUCCUAAAAUGAGCCAGAGAAGAGAGAGGUUUUAGUUUUACCAGGUAAAAAAGGAGAUAAAGGUUUCAAAAAGGCUCCUUCCCUCUCUCAGAGCUAAUAUGAAUUUCCCUAAUGAAGUGAAUGACUUCCAAGUAUGAAAGCAGGUUUACCUCUGGUUGCUGUUGAACAACUGCAAUGCCUGCAAAAUGCAUUUUCUACACCUUGAACCUAACUGAAAGUCCAUGUUGAUGUUGAAGGAAUUAUAAGAUGGGCGGGUAACUGUUUGUAUGUGAUGUAUUGUUAUUCCAUUUAUUCUUUGUAAUUUGAGAUUUUAGCUCAUAAAAAGAGGGCCUUUUCUAAGGCAAAACAUCUCUUCUACUCAUUGUCAAAGGACUCCCUGAGCUCAACUAGGCCAGAUUUCACCUCUGAUAUUUACACUCACUUUAGACUGAA